CCCUUAGAGUUUGAUCCUGGCUCAGAAUGAACGCUGGCGGCAUGCCUAACACAUGCAAGUCGAACGAAGGCUUCGGCCUUAGUGGCGCACGGGUGCGUAACGCGUGGGAAUCUGCCCUCAGGUUCGGAAUAACAGCGAGAAAUUGCUGCUAAUACCGGAUGAUAUCGCGAGAUCAAAGAUUUAUCGCCUGAGGAUGAGCCCGCGUAGGAUUAGCUAGUUGGUGUGGUAAAGGCGCACCAAGGCGACGAUCCUUAGCUGGUCUGAGAGGAUGAUCAGCCACACUGGGACUGAGACACGGCCCAGACUCCUACGGGAGGCAGCAGUGGGGAAUAUUGGACAAUGGGCGAAAGCCUGAUCCAGCAAUGCCGCGUGAGUGAUGAAGGCCUUAGGGUUGUAAAGCUCUUUUACCCGGGAUGAUAAUGACAGUACCGGGAGAAUAAGCUCCGGCUAACUCCGUGCCAGCAGCCGCGGUAAUACGGAGGGAGCUAGCGUUAUUCGGAAUUACUGGGCGUAAAGCGCACGUAGGCGGCUUUGUAAGUUAGAGGUGAAAGCCUGGAGCUCAACUCCAGAAUUGCCUUUAAGACUGCAUCGCUUGAAUCCAGGAGAGGUGAGUGGAAUUCCGAGUGUAGAGGUGAAAUUCGUAGAUAUUCGGAAGACACCAGUGGCGAAGCGGCUCACUGGACUGGUAUUGACGCUGAGUGCGAAAGCGUG
rnacentral:rRNA from 1 species